rnacentral:lncRNA from 1 species
CCGCAACAACCCACAUGCCCAAAUCAUUCUCUUCAAUUUGCAUUACCCCAAACCACAUGGCCACUUAAUGACAUAUUCAUAUUACUCAUGUAUCUAACUAAAAUAGAACAAGAUUCUACUGCAUUCACCUAACCAUGUAGCAUACCCAAAAUAUCAAAUCAACCAGUAUAAGAUCUAGUAAUAGCAUAAUCUAAUCAUUAACAAAUAGUAAUCAACUCAAUUAAGUAACAUCCAGUUCACAAAAACCAUGCUGGUUUCAUUUUAAUUACAUUGAAGAUUAAGACCAAGAAAGAAUUUGACCUCAAACUGAAAGAUGCUAUUUAUCUUGAUACCCAGCACUGGACAUAACGCGAACCGGAAAGACUCAACGAACCAUGCCUGACUCAAAUCCGAAAUUGCCGGAUUCCAUGGUUUUAAAAAUCGAAAAGCAGAAGAACAAGCUAAUUUUCUUAUUGAUGCUCUUUCACGAUGAUGCUACUAAGAGCGACAGUGAGGUCUGGCGGCUUUGAGGUGGUGAGAAAGAGACGACUGUUGUGGCUUAGGGUUGGGUAAAAGUGAUGGGUUAUGGGUUUGUGUUUUUAUGGUGUUGCUACUGUUAAAGGAGGUUGUCGGCGCUGUUGUGCGACGUGUUUUCCUUCGAGUUCGCCGGACCACUGGAUAAGAUGAUAGAACUAGUAGAGUCGCUGGUGGUUGGGUGUUAGAGAUGGCUAGCAGCUUGGCUGGCGGCGAGUCGACUGGAAUCUAGUUCUAGGGUUCAGCUAGAGUCUCUAGUGUCUUGUUGAAGAAAGAGGAGAGAACGAGAUGAAGUAGCUCCUCCUUUAGCUCUAGGGCAGCCGAUUUUGGAUCUUCUCCAUGUAUCUUUUCCUAAGGUCUCUUCUCUUUUAUUAAGGAAGAAGAAGUGCCUUUUAAGGUUAGGAAAAAAUUCAA